AGAGUUUGAUCCUGGCUCAGGAUGAACGCUGGCGGCGUGCCUAAUACAUGCAAGUCGAGCGAACGGACGAGAAGCUUGCUUCUCUGAUGUUAGCGGCGGACGGGUGAGUAACACGUGGAUAACCUACCUAUAAGACUGGGAUAACUUCGGGAAACCGGAGCUAAUACCGGAUAAUAUUUUGAACCGCAUGGUUCAAAAGUGAAAGACGGUCUUGCUGUCACUUAUAGAUGGAUCCGCGCUGCAUUAGCUAGUUGGUAAGGUAACGGCUUACCAAGGCAACGAUGCAUAGCCGACCUGUGAGGGUGAUCGGCCACACUGGAACUGAGACACGGUCCAGACUCCUACGGGAGGCAGCAGUAGGGAAUCUUCCGCAAUGGGCGAAAGCCUGACGGAGCAACGCCGCGUGAGUGAUGAAGGUCUUCGGAUCGUAAAACUCUGUUAUUAGGGAAGAACAUAUGUGUAAGUAACUGUGCACAUCUUGACGGUACCUAAUCAGAAAGCCACGGCUAACUACGUGCCAGCAGCCGCGGUAAUACGUAGGUGGCAAGCGUUAUCCGGAAUUAUUGGGCGUAAAGCGCGCGUAGGCGGUUUUUUAAGUCUGAUGUGAAAGCCCACGGCUCAACCGUGGAGGGUCAUUGGAAACUGGAAAACUUGAGUGCAGAAGAGGAAAGUGGAAUUCCAUGUGUAGCGGUGAAAUGCGCAGAGAUAUGGAGGAACACCAGUGGCGAAGGCGACUUUCUGGUCUGUAACUGACGCUGAUGUGCGAAAGCGUGGGGAUCAAACAGGAUUAGAUACCCUGGUAGUCCACGCCGUAAACGAUGAGUGCUAAGUGUUAGGGGGUUUCCGCCCCUUAGUGCUGCAGCUAACGCAUUAAGCACUCCGCCUGGGGAGUACGACCGCAAGGUUGAAACUCAAAGGAAUUGACGGGGACCCGCACAAGCGGUGGAGCAUGUGGUUUAAUUCGAAGCAACGCGAAGAACCUUACCAAAUCUUGACAUCCUUUGACAACUCUAGAGAUAGAGCCUUCCCCUUCGGGGGACAAAGUGACAGGUGGUGCAUGGUUGUCGUCAGCUCGUGUCGUGAGAUGUUGGGUUAAGUCCCGCAACGAGCGCAACCCUUAAGCUUAGUUGCCAUCAUUAAGUUGGGCACUCUAAGUUGACUGCCGGUGACAAACCGGAGGAAGGUGGGGAUGACGUCAAAUCAUCAUGCCCCUUAUGAUUUGGGCUACACACGUGCUACAAUGGACAAUACAAAGGGCAGCGAAACCGCGAGGUCAAGCAAAUCCCAUAAAGUUGUUCUCAGUUCGGAUUGUAGUCUGCAACUCGACUACAUGAAGCUGGAAUCGCUAGUAAUCGUAGAUCAGCAUGCUACGGUGAAUACGUUCCCGGGUCUUGUACACACCGCCCGUCACACCACGAGAGUUUGUAACACCCGAAGCCGGUGGAGUAACCUUUUAGGAGCUAGCCGUCGAAGGUGGGACAAAUGAUUGGGGUGAAGUCGUAACAAGGUAGCCGUAUCGGAAGGUGCGGCUGGAUCACCU
rnacentral:rRNA from 1 species